UACGGAGGGUGCGAGCGUUGUCCGGAAUCACUGGGCGUAAAGGGCGCGUAGGCGGCCACCGCAAGUCGACUGUGAAAUCUCCGGGCUUAACCCGGAAAGGUCAGCCGAUACUGCGGGGCUAGAGUGCAGAAGGGGCAACUGGAAUUCUCGGUGUAGCGGUGAAAUGCGUAGAUAUCGAGAGGAACACCUGCGGCGAAGGCGGGUUGCUGGGCUGACACUGACGCUGAGGCGCGAAAGCUAGGGGAGCGAACGGG
rnacentral:rRNA from 1 species